GGCGUCGGCGUUGGCUUCGGCGUCUUCCGGCCGCGCCUCGAAUCCCGUCAGGCGCGGGAAGGGCGCAGAGCCUCGUGGGCUUCGAGGGGCUCUGCGAGCUCUGCAGUUGAGGCCUUGGUCUGAGGCAGGAGUCCUGAGGUCACAGAGCAGAGGAGGCGCGGCCGCGUGCCAGUCGGUUGUCCAGGCGAGGGUCUGGCGACCAUCAUGUCCCUGGGUGAGAGGAGUGUGUUCUGCAAGCUUAAGGAGGAGCCAAGAGAGGUCCCGCUGCCAUGGGAUGCACUGCUGCCAGAGCCUGAGGACAGGGAGGUGGAGGAGGUGGAGUUGGAGGAGGAGGAG